rnacentral:misc_RNA from 1 species
AGAAAAGGAUGAAUAAAAAGAAUGAUCAAUGGAGGGUGAAGGAAUGCUUCAUUGCUUCAAUCUAAGCCUUGGUUGCAAGACCUGCCUUGAUCUUCUGAAUGGUCGUGACGUCUGUUUUGAAAGACUUGGCAAGAAUUGUAUCAUCGAUCCCAGUAGUGAAGACAGUAGCAGGAACUGAAACAGUUCCAGCAUUGGCACUGCCAAAAGCUGAGAUAGCAAUUGCAGGAUUCUUAGGGUCUGCAUUGUACUGAUAGUGAACUAGUCCUUUCGGAAACACGAAUAUGUCACCGAGUUGUAGAGGCUGGGCGUAGAGUUUGUUGGUGGCGUCAACAAAUCCUACAUCAAGGCUUCCAUAAACAACAAACAGAAGCUCAGCAGAGCGGGGGUGGGUGUGAGGUGGGUUCACACCACCUGCAGGAUAUUGCAGAACAGCAUAGGAUACACUCUGGCCAU